GCCUCUGUGGUGAAGUUGCGAUACUUUCGUUCUUCCGACAUGUUUCGUGAGGAAAAUAUUUUGGAGACCUGAACUGAUGAGGC